UGUGAAAAAAAAAAAAAAUAGAAACCACCAGCAUGUACAAAAAUAACUGCAGACGAGUACUGAAGUCGGGCAGAACCAGCCCCGAGAGCCGCCGCGCCCCAGGCCAUGCCCCAACCGCCUCGCCGCCGCCUGAGCGGCCGCCGGAAGCCCGUGCGGCCGCAAGGAAGGCGGCGGCGGGGCUCCACCUUCCUCUCGCUCUCUCCUUCCCUCCCCCUCGCCCUCGCUUGGUAGCUCGCCAGUCAUGGCCGUGGUGGCCGACUCCGGCGUCCAGCGGCCUGAUCCACCUCCCGGGCGGCCGGAUCCGCACCCUACGCCGCCGGAUCUAGCCUCCUAGGCGCGUCGGGGGGCGGCGGCGCGGCUCCUGCGCUGUGACGGCCUGUCCGUGGCGGCGGCCGCCGCUCCCGGCGGCCAGCGGCCGGAUCCGCACCCCCGGUCGCCGGAUCUGACCUCCCUGGGGCUCGGCGGGGCGCUCGGCGGGGCGGGGUGCGGCGGCGGCGGCGUGGAGCAGUGGUGCGCGGGGGUGUUGCCUGCCGCGGCCUUGCAUUGCAGGACGCGGAGGCGGCGGCACUCGCUGCCCGCGGCGGCUGGGCACGAGGCACUGCGGUGCCGGCCGCGGCGGCGCUCGCGGCCCGGCGCGACUGGGCACAUGGCGCUCCGGUGCCGGAGUGGCGGCACUUGUUCCAGCUAGCGCGCGGCGGCAGCGCUCCCGCAGUGGUGCGUUGCUGGGCGUGGGUGUGGACGGGGGCGCCCGCGGCCUUGGCGGCCGGGGGGGUGAGCGACGGCCGCACUCGGCGCCCGGCUUGCGGCUGCGAUCUCGGCGGCGUCUGGUCUACCUGCACUGCGGUGUGUCGGCGGCGCCGUGGUGGCGUGUGCCGACAACGGUUUUGCUCGGGCGUAGCGUCGCCGUGGUGGCGUCGUUGGCUGCGGCCGUGCGGAGGCUCGCUAGCUACACCAUGGUGGUGGGUUGGUGACGCGGACCGUCUUUUCACCGUGGUGACAAUGCGGGUGAAAACCCAUCCCUCCUUGGGAUGGCAUCGAUGAUGCCAUUGGCGUCAUUUCCUUCCUGAAGGCGAUGUCGUGGAUCGUUGGCUCGGACCUGGCUCUCGUCUGUGGCCAUUGUUAUUUAGGGUUAUGGUGGCUCGUGUCGAUGUCCCAAUCCGACCAGGCGGAGUGUAGGUGGUGAUGGCUCGUGUCGAUAUCCCAAUCCGAUCGGAUGGAGCAUAGGUUGUGGUAGCUUGGGUCGAUGUCCCAAUCCGGCCAGGUGGAGUCUUUUUCUUUGUGGCUCAUGUCGAUAUCCCAAUCCGACCAGCCAAAGUUGAGUGAGGCCCGGUUGAUGUCCCAAUCCAACCAGCUGGUGUUGCUAGUUGUAGGUGUUGUAGUGGUAGGUUUGUAUUUCGAUUGUGCAGUUUUUGGGCCCGGUUUAUCUAUAAACAGGGUCAACUCUCUUCUUCUUAUUAAUGUACGCCGAACCUUGCGGUUCGGGAUCUUUUAAAAAAAAAUGUUGUAGACUGGUAGGCUAAAUAUUGAUCGGAAGACAGCAUGAGUAGACUUGCAUA